rnacentral:tRNA from 1 species
CAGGGGGUAUUUUAUUUAAAAUGUUAGUUUUGGGGACUAAUGAAAUGGUUUAACACUUUUCCUCUGA